CCUACGGGAGGCAGCAGUGGGGAAUAUUGGGCAAUGGGCGAAAGCCUGACCCAGCAACGCCGCGUGAAGGAAGAAGGCUUUCGGGUUGUAAACUUCUUUUGACAGGGAAGAGCAGAAGACGGUACCUGUCGAAUAAGCCACGGCUAACUACGUGCCAGAAGCCGCGGUAAUACGUAGGUGGCAAGCGUUGUCCGGAUUUACUGGGUGGAAAGGGCGUGUAGCCGGGCUGACAAGUCAGAUGUGAACUCCGGGGGCUCAACCCCCGAACUGCAUUUGAAACUGUUGGUCUUGAGUAUCGGAGAGGCAGGCGGAAUUCCUAGUGUAGCGGUGAAAUGCGUAGAUAUUAGGAGGAACACCAGUGGCGAAGGCGGCCUGCUGGACGACAACUGACGGUGAGGCGCGAAAGCGUGGGGAGCAAACAGGAUUAGAUACCCCAGUAGUC
rnacentral:rRNA from 1 species